AGACCCGAAACCCGGUGAUCUAGCCAUGGGCAGGUUGAAGGUUGGGUAACACUAACUGGAGGACCGAACCGACUAAUGUUGAAAAAUUAGCGGAUGACCUGUGGCUGGGGGUGAAAGGCCAAUCAAACCGGGAGAUAGCUGGUUCUCCCCGAAAGCUAUUUAGGUAGCGCCUCGUGAAUUCAUCUCCGGGGGUAGAGCACUGUUUCGGCUAGGGGGCCAUCCCGGCUUACCAACCCGAUGCAAACUGCGAAUACCGGAGAAUGUUAUCACGGGAGACACACGGCGGGUGCUAACGUCCGUCGUGAAGAGGGAAACAACCCAGACCGCCAGCUAAGGUCCCAAAGUCAUGGUUAAGUGGGAAACGAUGUGGGAAGGCCCAGACAGCCAGGAUGUUGGCUUAGAAGCAGCCAUCAUUUAAAGAAAGCGUAAUAGCUCACUGGUCGAGUCGGCCUGCGCGGAAGAUGUAACGGGGCUAAACCAUGCACCGAAGCUGCGGCAGCGACACUCAGGUGUUGUUGGGUAGGGGAGCGUUCUGUAAGCCUGUGAAGGUGGCCUGUGAGGGUUGCUGGAGGUAUCAGAAGUGCGAAUGCUGACAUAAGUAACGAUAAAGCGGGUGAAAAGCCCGCUCGCCGGAAGACCAAGGGUUCCUGUCCAACGUUAAUCGGGGCAGGGUGAGUCGACCCCUAAGGCGAGGCCGAAAGGCGUAGUCGAUGGGAAACGGGUUAAUAUUCCCGUACUUGGUGUUACUGCGAAGGGGGGACGGAGAAGGCUAUGUUGGCCGGGCGACGGUUGUCCCGGUUUAAGCGUGUAGGUGUGUGUUCCAGGUAAAUCCGGUUCACUUUAACACUGAGGCGUGACGACGAGGCACUACGGUGCUGAAGCAACAAAUGCCCUGCUUCCAGGAAAAGCCUCUAAGCAUCAGGUAACAUCAAAUCGUACCCCAAACCGACACAGGUGGUCAGGUAGAGAAUACCAAGGCGCUUGAGAGAACUCGGGUGAAGGAACUAGGCAAAAUGGUGCCGUAA
rnacentral:rRNA from 1 species